rnacentral:rRNA from 1 species
GGUCCCGCCUGCCCAGUGACACUUAGUUCAACGGCCGCGGUAUUUUGACCGUGCAAAGGUAGCGUAAUCACUUGUCUUUUAAAUGAAGACCUGUAUGAAUGGCAUAACGAGGGCUUAACUGUCUCCUUCCCCUGGUCAAUGAAAUUGAUCUCCCCGUGCAGAAGCGGGGAUAAAACCAUAAGACGAGAAGACCCUAUGGAGCUUUAGACACACAGGUGGACCAUGUCAAAUACCCCCAGCUAAGGGCCUGAACUAAAUGGGGCCUGCCUUGAUGUCUUCGGUUGGGGCGACCAUGGGGAAUACAAAACCCCCACGUGGAAAGGGAGCACACCCCUAAGUUACUUCUUCUCCCGCAAGCCAGAGCAACAGCUCUAACAAGCAGAAAUUCUGACCAAACUGAUCCGGUAAAACCGAUCAACGAACCAAGUUACCCUAGGGAUAACAGCGCAAUCCCCUUUUAGAGCCCAUAUCGACAAGGGGGUUUACGACCUCGAUGUUGGAUCAGGACAUCCUAAUGGUGCAGCCGCUAUUAAGGGUUCGUUUGUUCAACGAUUAAAGUCCUACGUGAUC